rnacentral:rRNA from 1 species
CGUUUCCGAUUUAUGGGGGGCGGUGAGAUGCCAUUCCGGAUAUCGACGCUCUUAACGGUUACGUUAUUCGUGAGUUCGAGCAUAUGAUGUGCAUUGAGCUGUGUGAUUCUAUCGAAGGCCGAGGAGGACUUUGCGCGUCCCCCUUUCUACAGGUCUUAGCAUCAGGAGCUUCUUAGAGCUAUAAGGGUUAUUCGUCUCGCU